GACGAAAGCUGGCUGCGUGCUUCACACAUGCAAGUCGAACGGUAAGGACCUUUCGGGGGUACACGACUGGCGAACGGGUGAGUACCACGUGGGUGAUCUGCCCUGCCCUGGGGGAUAAGCCUGGGAAACUGGGCCUAAUACCGAAUCGGACUACGCUCUGCCUCGGGUGUGGUGGAAAGCUUUCGCGGUGUGGGAUGGGCCCGCGGCCUAUCAGCUUGUUGGGGGGGUGAUGGCGUACCAAGGCGACGACUGGUAGCCGGCCUGAGAGGGUGUCCGGACACACUGAGACUGAGAGACGGCCCAGACUCCUACGGGAGGCAGCAGUGGGGAAUAUUGCACAAUGGGCGCAAGCCUGAUGCAGCGACGCCGCGUGGGGGAUGACGGCCUUCGGGUUGUAAACCUCUUUCAGCACAGACGAAGCGCAAGUGACGGUAUGUGCAGAAGAAGGACCGGCCAACUACGUGCCAGCCGCCGCCGUAA
rnacentral:rRNA from 1 species